UACGUAGGGGGCUAGCGUUGUCCGGAAUCAUUGGGCGUAAAGCGCGCGUAGGCGGCCCGGUAAGUCCGCUGUGAAAGUCAAAGGCUCAACCUUUGAAUGUCAGCGGAUACUGCCGGGCUAGAGUCCGGAAGAGGCGAGUGGAACUCCUGGUGUAGCGGUGGAAUGCGCAGAUAUCGGGAGGAACACCAAUGGCGAAGGCAGCUCACUGGGACGGCACUGACGCUGAGACGCGAAAGCGUGGGGAGCAAACAGG
rnacentral:rRNA from 1 species